UCCAGUGUUCUAUCGCAAAGAUUUUCAUGCCCUCCGUUAACUUCCACAUGGACCUAGCGUAUUCAUCAGGUAUAUACGAGCUGUACAAUAUUCGUUAAGCAUAGAGUAAUCUUUUUAUCAGGUUAAUUUGCUGAAUUGAAGUGAUUCGAAUUGAUCACAUCACUAUUAGUGCUUAAUUUUACAUGAAUCUCCGGAUGUCGGAUGAGAACAAAUAUCGGUGACCUACUUACUCUUUCCAGAACGUCAAACCGAAAUCUAAUCCUGACUGAAAGAGCUCACCAAUUUUUUGUGUAGAUUUUUGUUUAGAUUUGUAACUACUACUUACUACUGUAAGUUCGCUACAACCAAACACUUAGAAGCUAUCAACUUAUAUCGACAACGACUAUGAGCAAUGAAAACUGCGCUAAAAGGGAAAGGUCGACCGAUAGGUUUGUAAUCAGUGCUUCUUGGAAGGCGCACAAUUCUAUCAAGAUCCGCUAUUUCAUCCAUAGAAGUUGACGCUAACUUUUCGCUGUGGGCUAAGGCCUUCUUUCGUUUCACCCUGAAAUUCUCGUGUAUCUUAAUGCGAGCAUCAUGAACAGUUCUCUCCUCUCCGCUCGUAUCUCGGGCCGCUCGCUGUCACAGACAACAUUCAUUUAUUAUAAACCCUUAAUUCUCGGUCCGCUUUUUCGCUGUUUCCUUUGUCUAAUAUUAAACUGCAUAAUCAAACUCGUUUUAUGAAAAAGCUCUUGAUAUAUCCUCUAGGCUUUUGAAAGGUCAUUCUGUCGAAAGGCACCGACUAUUCCUUUGGGAAGUCGGCGAUGAACCGAAACAGACAGGGUCUGUCCUUUCUCAAACACAAAAAUAGGCACAACAGAGUCAAACAUCGGGUAAGCAGGACACCGCAGUGUGCAACGAUCUUCUCUUUCAAGGGCCUAAAGAGACUAGCGCCACGACUGUAGUUGAAUUUCACCGUUGCGGCCUCAUCCCUAAAGUAGUCGAGAGAAGCCCGAGACGGCCAUACUCUCUUGUAUAAUGCACCUACAGCAUCGUUUUCCAUCGAAUUGCUGUAUACCACUAUUCUGCCUAAAGGACGGCUAUACUUACUUGUAGUUUCGUGCAAUGAGCUGUUGAUCGCGACCUAACCGGCGAUGCUUGCAGAGAUACUCUGUAAAGCCCUAGCUUGUGCCUUUCUUGUCUGGCUUAUCAACAAGCUCGCUGAUUUGGGCAUCUAAUAUAAUAAAAAUACUGUGUUCGCUUAUAUGAGCCAUGUCAGCGAUCGACAACUAAACUCAACCGACAUAUCUGAGAAAAGCAUCAUAUCGUUUACCUGGAGUGGACUAUAGUCAUAUGUAGACCAAAGAAGUUUCCUGUUCAUUCGGAAUAGUCUGUGACUCAGUGUUGUAAGAAUUUAAUUUAGUUAGUGCAAUGAGUUACCACAGCUAUGGCUCGAGUCCGAGCUCGACUUUUCGUCGACAAGUUUUGCCCUCAUUAUCGUCCUCGCUGUACUUAUCGACGCGCAGCCCACUUCUUUAUCGACCCUCGACCUAUUCGACGAAUUACUCGUUACCGAGUUCAACGUACCGACGGUCGGUCUAUAGUUCAUCAGGAGCUCCUAACAGUAGAAGCCGCUAUGAGGGCUCUUUGGAAGAUCUCCCAUCAGAUAAAGAUUCCGUUACCGCUAAAGUUGACAGCCCUUCAGCUUUGCGGAAAGGCAGUUCUACUCGAAGUUUUGGCAGUGUCACCACAUGCGACGAUAUAGAUAAACCUGAACGAGACGAUCUAUCAGGUGAAGAUCUUACAACGGAAAAUUAUUACAAAAGGCAGCCCAGCUCGCACAUACGUAUAUCCAGUAUGAACGUCAUUGCGCUCUCUACUCAUCACAUAUAUGAUACGCAUCGUGUCUCAGCCAAUAUUGCCCAUUAUGGAGCUCUACGAAGAGGCGACGUCCCAGCGCGAAUCUGAGGAAGCGGCCUUAGUUGCCGAACUGAAAGAACAGAUCGAUCUACGGCAGAAACUGAUCUAUGCGAUCAACAACCUUCAGGCCCUACAACAUGAUUUGAACGAUACCAGCGAGAUGUGCAUAUUAUUGGAGAAGUUCGUUCCCGAUAGAAAAAAACGUUGACAAACAAUUAACAUGAAGCAAACUCGUUCUAGGAAAGUGCGUGACAACGCCAUAUGAAUAUGAGACGCGUUUACUGAAGUCACCUUAGUGACCCGAAGUGAAGUAUUCGAGUUAUCUUUAUGUACAAACACACACAGCCGAAAUUUAGCUUUAACAACUGUGAAAAUGCGUUCUUUCAUUCUUGUCAGAGAAUAUGUUUCGUAAAUCGACAAUCUUAUUACAUCCAUAGGGACUUGUCGAUUUCUAUUAUAUUUUCUUCAACAUAAAUUUCAUUCAAAUGGGACCGUAUUUAUAAUAAUGUAGUCAGAUUAUUUGUGCUAUUUGUGUGUAAAAAAUUUCCAUAGUUUGUUUUUCGCUAGAAUUUUCAAUCUCGUUGUUCUGUAACGAGAAGCUGGGAUCGAAUACCGAAGAUACAAAUAAACCAAUCUGCGACUAUUAUUUUUUUACCCAAUCCUACCUAUGUCAUAAUACAUAGUCCACUUUGGUGUGCAUUUUAUCUGUUUCCCAGCUAUUAUUUAUCUACAUUUUAGCCAAGCUAGUUUUACUUGUCACAAACUUAUCAUUGAUCGCAUGCAAUUUUCACUUUCAGCGCCUUGGAACGGUCAAAGAGGAAAGUAGGCGUCUGAAAAAACAGACGUCAUUAAAGUCGCAACGAGGCAACGGUGUGCGAAGGUUUUGAGCGGAAACCCAAUAUCGCAUAAACUGGCUAACGAUCAUUUGCAGAGUCUGAAGUGCAAAGGAUUUUAAAGCACUCCUCAACGAAGUAGAACUGGGUUGUUUUAUGCACAAUCCAAAUCGUAAGAAGCAGUGCACCUACGAGCAUCGGCAAAAGUGACGACCAAUGGAAGGGCGUUAACACUGACGGAAAUGUUAGUCCAUCGGCAUAGGCGAAAUCGUAGACAUCUUCAUGGGAUGCUUCGGAAAUCGGUAAAAUGCUACCAACGUCUUCGGCCAUCACAGAUUGCACGGUGUAAAUGGUUAUUGUAAUAGAGGCGAAAAGAUUCUCUUUCGAUUUAGGGUUUACUGCAACAAAGAUUUUUGGCUAACAAUUUCCACUGUACAUAUUGCGCUACUAUCGUAAGCAGUACACUUCAUGAAUACUGCACAUAACUUAAUAAUGUUGCGCAACUUUUUCGCGUCGUUCAUAUAAACCAGUUUCUGAUUAUUAGCGUUCACUCAGUCAACUGCCACCAGACCAUUCAUUGCUCCUUAUGACGCAGCUCGGGGUCAGAAUCUGCUAUCGCAGGGCUAUCCGCGAAUGGCGCGCCACGACCCUGACUUCACGAGAGCCCUUUCCAGCGCAAUGCCUUCGCCACUAAGAUUCCGUUAGUAACGCAGAAAGACAUCGUGUUGUUAAAAAGCUGCUACAGCUGACAGGUAUCCUGUGUGGUACAAAUGUAUUACAGAUGCUGGUAUGCUGCACUCAUUAAUCCUUGCACGAUUCAUCCUUUGGCCGUACUCCCUUAUGUUCGACUGUCUAUAGGUGAACGAUGUUCUACGAUCGAAAUAACAAAAAUAUAAAAAUAAAUCAAAUUAGAAUGUAAUUAAAAUGCAUACGUCGCAUGAUGUAAAGCAAGGUUCAAUGUUCGUGUCGUACGUCCGUCCUGCCGGCGGCGGACCCGUGUCAAGAUUUCCCUGGGUAGAAGGUAAAGACUUAGGAGAUCACAGAACACAAAUAAUGUUGUGAGUAUAGCAAGCAUAGUGUAUAUACACACUCUAUUUAAUACUUCAUGAUUACUUUUUAUUUUCAGGGCUAGAUUGAUUAGAGACAAUGAGUAGAUGAACGUUACCUUUUGAACAACAUUUUUUCACUCUGAAAUGCAGAAGUACGAAGCCAAUAUCAAAAGGAGCUUCAGGAAGAUUUAUCUAGGUGACUCACAAUUAAUUGGAUAGAAGAUAAGCUUGAAACAGGCAAAACUGUUCAGGAUAUUCGUAAAUAAAGUUCUGGAAGGUCAACAAUACCACUGAGUAUCACCACUGAGAGGACAACACUAGAAAAUUCGUGAGACGCUCAAAUAGUAAGGUUGGCAUUAGCAUAUCGAGCAAUCAUCACUUUUUUUAAUACAUUCUAGAUGGAAAAGUUAUAUUUUAACAAUGGUCUAUGCUAGCAAUCAAGAUGCUCCGUGACGAACAGGAUAACAAUCUGGUUUUCAAAGAAGAUUGAAGCGUUAAAGCUGUAUUCAAAGUAAAGGGCAUAAUUAAAAUGUAUUAUUGCACCUACGGGGCAACUGGAAACCCGCAUGUUAUGCGAGAAUACUAUGUAAAUAGAGCAGGAGUAACAGUUCAGUGUGGAAUUAGAAGCAAACGAUUCGGACCAAUGUUUUAUGACACUUUGCAAGGAUCAUCGAACAGCACGGAGCAUCCGCGCUUCACUAUCGUUAUAUGUCAGAAACGGGUGGGCCCAGAUAAAGCGGUCCUAUAAAAUAGCCAGUCCGUUACCUAGACUUGAAGCCAAUCCACUGUUUCUUGACGAGAUAUUUUAAAAAUAAGGUCUAUAGUAAUAGAAUUCAGAAAGAUUAGCUCCACAGUACCAAACCAAACGUUUGUUAAGCUCAUGAAUCAAUAGAGCACCACUAUCAACAGUAUGUUGAGUAUCAUUUGGAGUAUCUGCGCUAGAGUAAUGGAGAUUUACAUUUUGUGGUUUCCCCGACAGCAUGUGAACGAGUCGACAUUGUCAUGUCAAUACCUUGUUUCGCUUCAUGCAGGGUAAUCCAGCUUGUCCGCUCUGUUUGAUAUCUCAGGCAACCAUUGACCGGCUCUCUAUAAACAGGUAUAUUAUAUUACUGGAAGAUUGGAAAAAUCUGCGAAUCUGUUAGAAAUCAGUGCUAAAGGCGGCGGAAUACAGCCUUUUUACAUUUUGCUAAUGGAAAUGAUUUGUGUAAAUAAACGGCUUCUUAUUACAUAUGUUAAAUGCAAUAAUAUUACCAAUUCUCAGUCAAUCUGAAUAAGGUAAACUGCUUUAGAAGGCUAGUCCGUUUCGAGCCUGUACGUUCGUGAUUGUGCUUCAUAUACUCUCUAUAUAGUUUGAUUCUUCUAGUCUUAGCAUUUAUUUAAAACGUGAAAGCGUUAGCUACGCAAAAAAACAGCCUCUAGGAAAAUAAUAGACAUGGUUCAGUAAGGUAUUGUAACACGUAAUACUUUUUUUUUUUUUAUUAAAAGCUUUCAAUUGUGAUUCUACAUUAUCGUGUCGCAUUGAAAUAGGUUGUGUAAAGAAAUCGAUAGAUAAAAGUUUCUUUUCCUUUGAAUAAACAACAGAAAUUCAGAAACAGGUAUCAGUAUGUUAUUUUUAUAUAAAAACUAUAGAUGUUUAGGCGUACAUCGUUGUCUUUCACGAAGCACCAAUGUGAAAGGUUCAUUUGAAAAGCAUGAGGGCGCACCUUAUCACACUUAUAUCACAAUGUUUUUUUCAUUAUUUCACUUUUUGAUCUGUUGUAAUGCCCAACCUACGAGGAAACUAACAUGCCACCUUGUAACAAACAGCGUCUGGAAAUUGAACGUGUGAGAAAUAGACGUACGACAGCAACUUUCCAGUCCGAGAAAUUCAUAUGUUUACAACAUUUUAAGCUGGGCAGCUCAUUUCGGUACUUACUUACUUACUCAGCGCGAAACGCACUGUGACUUGAUAAGAUCCAACAUUGUUUGAAAUGGGCUUCUUUGAUCGAAGAGUGGUCUACACGACGUAAGAAUAAAGCUUUUCUAGACUUGAAGAUCUCCAGUUUUGAUCCCUUUAUAAAGAGAAGGCUCAAUCUUUUUAAAGUAGUUUUAGAGCUCAAUCCACCGAAAUAUUUUGGCUAGAAAACGUAAGUUUCUCUCUAAUAAUGCCGCUCAAAAAUGCAUAACUUAGAGAAUAUUGUAAGCAAUAUUUAAACAUAGAAGAGAUCAGAAACACAUUAUAUUUGCUUCUCAAAACUACCUUUCUUCUCAGAGCUAACUAGAAUAACUUACUUCGAAAAACAGAAGCGCGAAAUUGGCUGGUCACUGGCAGGCCUAACCUAUGCAAUAUUUUUUUAUUAUAUUAUUAUCGAACUUACAGGGUAUGUGCAAAGUUAUGCCGUUUUAGCUUAAAAUACGGUACUUUUGAAAUUAGGCCGGAUACUUCUAAGAUAAAAUUAUGCACUUUUUAAAUCAAAUCUGAUUCUUUUGAUCAAAUCAGGCUUUUUUUUUUUCGAAAUGUAUAUAAUUAAAAUAAAUAUUCUCGUUAUCUUUGUAAGACAACGUUAAUAUGGUUGCAAACGGUCCGAGUAAAGUGUGUUAUUAGAUACGUUAAUUAUUGAUAGACCGAAUAAAUAUACGCUCCUGCUCAGUAACUACCGCGCAAAGACCUUUAACACCGAAUUGAACUGGGGUAACGGACUGCUAAUAGAUUACGCAAUCCAGUGUGUUAUGAGAACUUUAAAUUUAAACAAAUUAAGCUAGUAGACUAGACGAAUUGCGGUAUUAGAGGAGAUACAAGAAAAAAUUCGAAUUAGUCAAAGAAAAAUGAGGUAGACAAAAUAAUAUUGCUAAAACAAUGGUGUAGGUUUCCAACAAUAGAAAAGGAGUGGAAGGAGGUUAAGAUUAGUAGAUAGUGAGGCUCUGGUAGAAACAUUAGAAGCUAAAUUUAAAGCUGUAUUGUAUUUUACUGUGUUGGAAGCCAGCUGUCUGAACGGCUUAGGUACCGUACGUAAAACCGCU